UUCGGAAUAUUCGGCAAUGGGCGAAAGCCUGACCGAGCGACGCCGCGUGCGGGAUGAAGGCCCUUUGGGUUGUAAACCGCUGUCACAGGUGAGCAAAUUGCCGAUGGUGAACAACCAUUGGCAUUGAGUUAAGCUUGAGAGGAAGCCCCCGCUAAUCACGUGCCAGCAGCGGCGGUAAUACGUGAGGGGCGAACGUUGUUCGGUGUCACUGGGCUUAAAGGGUGCGUAGGUGGUUACGUAAGUAACGUGUGAAAGCCCUCGGCUUACCCGGGGAAUUGCGCGUUAUACUGCGUGACUUGAGGAUUUCAGGGGAAAGGGGAACUCCAGGUGUAGCGGUGAAAUGCGCAGAUAUCUGGGGGAAGGCCGGCGGCGAAGGCGCCUUUCUGGGAAAUUCCUGACACUGAGGCACGAAAGCGUGGGGAGCAAACAGGAUUAGAUACCCCCGUAGUCC
rnacentral:rRNA from 1 species